GGUCUAAUAGUGUAGAGGUUAUCACACGGGAUUUUGAGAGCAACUUCCCGUAACCCAGGUUCGAGUCCUGGUUAGACCU